UCUAACGUGGCAGAUAAGUGCGGUGGAUUUAAGCUCCACAAAUAAAGUAUUCAAACUUUCUUUAGAA
rnacentral:tRNA from 1 species